CCUACGGGUGGCAGCAGUCGAGAAUCAUUCACAAUGGGGGAAACCCUGAUGGUGCGACGCCGCGUGGGGGAAUGAAGGUCUUCGGAUUGUAAAACCCUGUCAUGUGGGAGCAAAUUAAAAAGAUAGUACCACAAGAGGAAGAGACGGCUAACUCUGUGCCAGCAGCCGCGGUCAUACAUAGGUAUCAAGCGUUGUUCGGAAUCACUGGGCGUAAAGCGUGCGUAGGCUGUUUCGUAAGACGUGUGUGAAAGGCGCGGGCUCAACCCGCGGACGGCACAUGAUACUGCGAGACUAGAGUAAUGGAGGGGGAACCGGAAUUCUCGGUGUAGCAGUGAAAUGCGUAGAUAUCGAGAGGAACACUCGUGGCGAAGGCGGGUUCCUGGACAUUAACUGACGCUGAGGCACGAAGGCCAGGGGAGCGAAAGGGAUUAGAUACCCCGGUAGUC
rnacentral:rRNA from 1 species